rnacentral:rRNA from 1 species
UACGAAGGGGGCGAGCGUUGUUCGGAAUUACUGGGCGUAAAGCGCGCGUAGGCGGACCUGCAAGUCGGGGGUGAAAGCCCGAGGCUCAACCUCGGAACUGCCUUCGAUACUGCGGGUCUCGAGUCCGGGAGAGGUGAGUGGAAUUCCUAGUGUAGAGGUGAAAUUCGUAGAUAUUAGGAAGAACACCAGUGGCGAAGGCGGCUCACUGGCCCGGUACUGACGCUGAGGUGCGAAAGCGUGGGGAGCAAACAGG